GCUGGGAUUACAGGUGUCUUUGUGAAGCUUCCUAUCUUUGCUUUUCAACUAAGAUGAAACAGCAUUUAAAAGAAAAUGCCAUGUGAGAUGAGAUCAGGAGAAUGGAUUCUUUCUUUCAUCUGAAUAGAGAGCUGCUGUUCGAGAUUCUAACUCAAAUAGCUCAAAGGACACCUUCUCCGGGAAACCUUCCCUGACUUCCGACGCUGUUUCCUGUUUUGCAGGAAAGAAUACACAAGCUCAGAAUCUCUUGGGCUGAGUGACAAAGGAGGAAAAGGGAUGGUUCCAAGUAGGAUUGGAGCUUCUGCUUCCUCACUUCCUCACGUAGCUCCAUCUGCCUCUUCAGAGAGCUCCCAUCUCCCACUGUGUGCAGCUGAGUUCCAAGCACUCCUGGCGGCAUAAUGACUGGGACAAAGAUAUUUCCUGCAGUUGUCAAUGGUGCUCCUAUACUGAAACUCUCCUAGGAACUUGGCCAAAUCUUCCUGCUCCCCAUCCCUGAUUUCUGUGAACAAGAGGGAAGACUUUGUCACACUUCUCAUUGGUGAUCAUAUUAAUUUCUAGGCCAUGUGUAUCUAGAUAUGAAAUAAUAUUUCUGUUAUUUUAAAAUAUAAGAUCCUUGGAAGAUGUCAUCUAUUGGAACAUGUAACUAUAUAGCCAGAAGAGGAGAUCACUAGAGCCAGACUGCUCUGUCUACAUACUUAAAAAGACAUUUGGAGGAAGAGAGCAUCUGCAAAUGUUGAUGAAAAUGGGUUUGGAACUUCUCUUUUGAUCAGGAAAUAGGUAGACCAUAAAAUGUCUGAUGCAUGUUGCUGCCUGAAGCAAACCCACAAUCUGGAACCCAGUCAUCUUGUUGCUCUAGAAAGCAUCAAGAGAAAAUGGAAGAAGGCUUAAAAGGCCCAUCACAUUUUAAUCUCUAUGGUUGGAUUAAUCAAAAGUUUUCAUAGUUUUACUAAAGAAAAAUGAGUGGUCAUUUAUACUUCAUCUCUAACAAGAAACUUUUUUGUCCAGUGCUCAAAAAUACAUAUGCUAUUAUGCUAUAGUUUCCUUAUGACUUGUUUUGUUUUCUAUAGUUGAUUGUGAGCCUCCAAAGGGCAUGGAGCUAUAUGGUAUGAUUCUUUGCUCCUCAGGCAUUUUCUUGCUCAGGAGACAUACCUAACAUGUUUUUACUUAAUGAUAAAGGUGGUAUGAAUGCAUCAUCAAUAACAGAAGCUUAGAGCUAGAAGUAAAUGUUUAAUCAUUUACUUUUGCUUGUUUUUCUUUUCCUUUUUUUUUUGCAUUGUCUACUUUAAGACCCACAUAUUACAAAUAAGAAGCAUUAAAAGUCGUUAGUGUCAAGAUCGGGGACAUGAAUUAGGUCUCUUGAUUCUAAAGAUGAUUACAGUAAUAACAGAAAAGGCUUUCUCAUCAAGCAGUGUAACUCAGUGGAACAAGCUUCAGAUUGAGCAGUGGCAAUGUGGUUUCGUGGACAGGCACUGGCUGGGAGCUUGGAUCUCAUUAUUGUGGGUUCAUCUCAGUCAUGUGUUGACCUGAGGUGCAGGUGGCUCUAUUGGGAGUCAGCCAGCUGUGGAUGGUAACCACACAUGACCAAAAUGAGUCUUCAGAAGCUAUCACUUGAACACAGCAACGACACUGGGCACUACUAAGAAGGAGGGAGGAAGUGGACCAAGGGCUGAAAAACUAACUAUUGGGUCCUAUGCUUAGU
rnacentral:lncRNA from 1 species